AGGUGAUGUUUCUGUCUAUGAUACAAUCAGAGACUCUGGAGAUGCUGAACAUGGUGAUGCUGCCCUCUAUGAUUCAAUCAGAGACUCUGCUGAAAAUGGUGCAGGUGAAUCCAUGGAUGUCACAUACUCUGUCAUUGAACUUAAAAACACCGGGAAGAAGGGGAAGCGCUGUGAACCAGGGG